rnacentral:rRNA from 1 species
UACGUAGGUGGCAAGCGUUGUCCGGAAUUAUUGGGCGUAAAGCGCGCGCAGGCGGUCCUUUAAGUCUGAUGUGAAAGCCCACGGCUCAACCGUGGAGGGUCAUUGGAAACUGGGGGACUUGAGUACAGAAGAGUAGAGUGGAAUUCCACGUGUAGCGGUGAAAUGCGUAGAGAUGUGGAGGAACACCAGUGGCGAAGGCGACUCUUUGGUCUGUAACUGACGCUGAGGCGCGAAAGCGUGGGGAGCAAACAGG